UGCAGGAGUAGAACGCAAAGAAGAAGAAGAGAAAUCUUAGUGGCUGCAUGCUGGUCUUCUCUUCCUCAUUAGCUGUGUCUCUUUUCCUUGGCCUACCUCCUGCAACAAACAGACGAGGAAGAUGAAAAGCCGGAAGAGAAGCUCGUGAGAUCUCGAGUUCUGCAACAGCUAAUGAACAGAGUUAAACGACUACAAACUUUGGACACACUCAAAGAGACAUGGAUUAAUGGAGAACAUACUCCGACAUCAAACAUGGAGAGGGCAUGCAUGCUAAAGCCUAUCUUGCAAGUAUAUGUUUAAUCUCUUCUGCUGUGUGUGUUUGAGGAGAUAAAAAGGAAGGAUGGAUUCAUGAAACCACUUGAGUGGCCCAGUUAGUGUUCUAAGUUGCAGGGAAUGAGAGAAUCGAGAGCUCCCAUGACCUUUGUCCCUACUGCAAGUCAAAAGCCACACAACCCUUUGGGGUCAGCUUUGCUGUCGGGGGAACUGUCUUCUGAGAACUGUGUGUCAGAUCAACCAAACCCUAAUAUCAUAUCAACCCUCAGGUAGAAGGGUUACCGAGCUAAAGACAAUGAACAGUUCUCCAUGGAAGAUGGCAUGGGAAUCUCUCCAUGUUAUGUCGUGCUGCCGUGAGAAGGAUAACACCUCAUCCCUGUGUUAUUUUAUGGGCUAAGCAAGGUGGUGGGAAGUUCGACUUGGCCAUUGGCAGCAGGGAAAGGGAGGGGGUGGAAGAGAAGAGGCAUCAAUGUGCAAUCAUGGAGAGGUGUCCACCCACUGCACUACCUACGGUCACAUGCAACAACACAUGGUCAGGGUUGGCAUCCAAAUGGGUGAGGGGAAGGGGGAGGCCAUGUGAGGCUCUCCUCCUCUGCAUCUUCUUCCCCAUGCUGUUUGGCCAUUAUUGAGCAUCAUCAUCCUCCUAUCUCUAUGUUGGCCAUGUGAGUUUUCGCAUGGAGCACAGCCAUGAGAGUUUGCUUUUCCAGCCCACUUAAGCUUCAGUGUUUGAGCAAUUUGGCAAGUACUGAUGAUAAUAAUUGUUGGUUAAUUAGCUGUGGAAAAGGAGAGAGAGAGAGAGAGAGAUUCACUUCUCCUUCUCUACAAAUCUAUAUCUU